UCAAGAUUUCUCAGAAAAGCCAGUCUAACCCUGAGGAACGCAUCAUCAUGGUUCUUUCCCUUGAGAUUCUGAGCAUCAGAGAGCAUUCCCAUUGGUUCAGAAAAUGGUUUUCAUCAUCAAGUAUAAGGCAUUCUCUAGGCCGAUUGGAAGAUAAGCCAUCAAAACAAAACCCCCUGAAAACGUAACCCUGCAGCUGCAAGCCCCAACAUCAGCCUUCCUCCUCCGUUUCUCAAGGGUAUGCCUGGAGAACAAAGCACUGGUGACUACAGGGCUACGCAAGGAAGAGGAGAAGAGGAGCUAGGAAACUGCUGUGGGAGC